rnacentral:rRNA from 1 species
GGGCCCGCACAAGCGGUGGAGCAUGUGGUUCAAUUCGAUGCAACGCGAAGAACCUUACCUGGGCUUGACAUUCUCUUGACAGCCGUAGAGAUACGGUUUUCCCGCAAGGGACAGGAGAACAGGUGCUGCAUGGCUGUCGUCAGCUCGUGUCGUGAGAUGUUGGCUUAAGUGCCGCAACGAGCGCAACCCGUGUCCAUAGUUACCAGCGGUUCGGCCGGGAACUCUAUGGAGACCGCCGGUGAUAAACCGGAGGAAGGUGCGGAUGACGUCAAGUCCUCAUGGCCUUUAUGUCCAGGGCUACACACGUGCUACAAUGGUUGGUACAGCGGGAUGCUACCUCGCGAGAGUCAGCAAAUCCUUUAAAACCAACCCCAGUUCGGAUUGUAGUCUGCAACUCGACUACAUGAAGUUGGAAUCGCUAGUAAUCGCGGAUCAGCUAUGCCGCGGUGAAUACGUUCUCGGGCCUU